CUCCCCCCCUUCCCCAUAGACUGACAGCACAGCACUAUCAUAAACCCCCUUCAUGUACCUUGGUCCUGCUCCACGGACACAGAGUGAGUCAGAUGCCAGAGUAAUGAUCUAAGCUACAGUGCCAGUACAAUGACGCUGUGCCAGCGGCUCUCACAGCACUUCAGCCUCAGAGGGGGAACACACUCCGCGGACUUGACCACUAAUGUGCGCGGCCAGUCUACAGUGACACAUUCAGCGCCAUCUCUCCACCCCCCUUCCCCCGGCCUGACACUGCAGAGCGGCAUCUCCCCCCUCUCCCUACCUCCCCUCCCAAACCAGUAGCCAGGCUGAGGAGAGGAGCUGUGUGCAUACUUACCCGAGUGUAUGGAGCUCCUGAACGCUGCUUGCUGUGCUGCUGGCUUGUCCUUCUUCAGCCUCCGCGAGCUGCACCACAGAGGAUGUUUUCUUCUCGAGCAGCAAAAACACAAACGCACGUCAGUGAGGCUGGUUCUUCUCAUGCAGCUCCCCCAAGGCCAGUGGCGAUUGAGGACCUUCCAGAAGAUCAUGAAAUUAUCUCACCCUGGUUGACCCUCUGUUGCCGCAUGAGGACACUACACCAGUCAUGGAUAGUGAGGUCAGCAGCAGGCCACACCACAGCCCACACCCACACCUCAGCCAAUGCAGUCUGAGGAGGAGAUUGCCCAGUCACUGGAUAGCUUCCAGGAGCAUCAACUCCAAUUUAUGGCCACACAGAUGCAGCAAUUGAACAAUAUUAGCAGCUGCGUAAAGUAACAAAUGUGGCCAGAUGUAUGCGAACCUGAAUGGCCCAUCAGAUAGACAUGAGGCUGCUUGAUAUUAGACAAGCAGUUCAGGCCCAAACAGAAGCCCUUAGUGACCUCACAAGCCAACUCACAGGCCAAAGGGCUACUUUCCUGAAGUACCAAGUGUGUCGGCGGUGAGUAGCCAGAUGGCCACCCCCCAAAAUGGAUCACCAACCACUCCCCCAAGGUGCAGUGUGUGCACACGUGGUGGUGUGGCUAAAGGGGCAGAAGUAGCUCUGGCUCAAAAAAAAUUACUGGUUUAUUGGGGGAGGUUGAGAUUUGUGUAUAUUACAGUAUGUUUUUGUUUUUUUGU